UACGAAGGGUGCGAGCGUUAUUCGGAUUGAUUGGGCGUAAAGGGUGCGCAGACGGCGCGCUAAGUCAGAUGUCAAAUUCCCUGGCCUAACCGGGGGCAGGCAUUAGAUACUGGCAUGCUAGAGGGUGGAAGAGAGAAGUGGAAUUCUCGGAGUAGCGGUAAAAUGCGUAGAUCUCGAGAGGAACACCGAUGGCGAAGGCAGCUUCUUGGUCCAUUUCUGACGUUCAAGCACGAAAGCGUGGGGAGCAAACAGG
rnacentral:rRNA from 1 species